CUGGUCCUGUUCACCUGGAUCGGGGCCCACUUCCCCCAGGGCGCCCCGCAGCCUGACACAGAGGCUUUCCGGGAUGGAAAGGUGUUUCUUCCCUUUCUAGAUCAUGUCAGGCUCACCUCGACCCCAGCCAACAUGCCACCAGGCCUGCCCCACAGAAGUGGGCUGUGGGAGUGUUCCCAAGCCCUGGGGAGGGGGCCUCCACCGAGAUCGUGUCCCCGACCCCUCCUUCCGGCCCCCACAUCUACCCCCAGACCCAACCCCCCAGCGUAACUCGCACCCUCAUCCCCUUUCCCGAGGAAUCCAAACCCCGGUUUAAUGAGUCGUGAAGUGUGAGAACUUCCGGAGCCUGCAGCGCCCCUGAUGCCAAUUCCAGAUGUGCGAGUUGGGAGGGGUGGGCCUCCCGGCCGGUGAGGACCCAGCUGCUUUGGUCAGAGCGAAGCGUCCAGGACCCAGGUUCCAGCGAUCUGGGCCCUGAAUUGGAAACAGGCAACUUCUCCACUGAGAAAUUACUCUUUUUAUUUCUUGUAGUGUUCCUGGUGCCCUAUUUCACGGCACCAACAAACGGGAUAUUACUUUUAAAACACUAUGAAAUACCAGGUCCUGUCCUCGGAGCUAUUUCGGAGGAAUUCAAUUUUCGCUGAAUGGUGAGAAGCUCCAGCAUUUCUUUUGGGGGCAGAUGGGUGGCUCAAUGGGAGAAAGAGGAAAAUUUUCAGGACUGUCUUGGCAUUCCAGAGAGACUUGUGGGUGUCAGGACCACACAGUGGCACUCCUGCCCCCACCCAGACUCACACAGGCACCUGCACACCUUGUAAACGUGUCUUAGAUGGAACCACACACCAGGCACCCUGUAACAGCCAGCCCUUGUGCCAGUAACACUCUUUAUUACCCGGGACUCAAAGUCUGGCCUUGUCUCCUAGGGACUGUCUACAAGGUUAUCUGUUAUCUAUCAUCCGUCUACCAGCAGGACCUGCCCAUCCCCCACGGCUCCCCUUGGUGUUUCUUAAUGUCUUGGAGAACAGUUACUCUGAGCCGCUAGGGAAAAAAAAAAAAGUUUGCCUUACCAUUCUUCCCUCCCUCCCAUCUUUUUCCUCUUAGCAAAUGUUCCAUCCUCUUGACCUCAUGGGGCAUAACUUUCCAGUGCUGCCUUCAGGACUGGGGAAUGCAACGGGGAAAAAUAGGAGACUUUUUUCGUUGUUUUUGCUGAAAAUCUGAAGCCCUUAGUCGGAGCUGAGAUCACCGACCCCUCUUGCUUCUAACCAGUGCAGUAGAUGACUACGAACAGGCAGCUGGGACCAAGGAUAGCAGCUUCCAGCAGCUUUCCAAAAUGCCAGGGUCCCCAGUCCCCAAGUCCUGGAGAGAUCAUUCAGCCUUCUUGGAAAUUUAGCUGGUGGCUCCACCCUGGUCCCACAGCCUGGGCUCCCCUCGCCAGGUGCUGGGAGGCCUGUGAGAUCCACCUGAGUAUGUAAGGGAGAGAUGAGACCUCCUCUUGUCCCCACAAACAAGAAAGAAGCUAGCAAGAGUCACUUGGAAAUAAUAUCAGAUUCCCCACUGCCCCUUCCACCACACUCUUCCUCCUUCCAAGUCCUUUCCCUGCGUCGAAGGUGGAGAAGCCGGGUGGAGCCAGGAAGGGCUGAUGAGCAGUUUGGAGGGCCACACCCAGGAGCAAGCCUCUGUCUCACCCGGGCAUGGCCAGGGAAGAGCCCCACAGAGAUCAGAAAAGAAACAGCUGCAGGCGUGAUCUGUGAGUUUCAUUUUUCCACUUAAAGACAAAACAGGCCCAGAUUGUCACUGGAGGUGCCUCGGCGGCACCGUUUCCAGCUGCCUUCGGCACCUUCUGAGCCUUUUGGCUGCAGCUGGCUAAACCCACGGUGGAGUGUCCACAGCUCAUGCCUGCUCCGAUCAGGAGAUCUAAACCAGGACAGGGAAUCCCCUCAGCACUGACCCUACCUGGGUUCCCUGGGCGGCAGCCCCGCAAAUACCCACUCUCUCCAGUUUCCCAUCAACUAUUACUUACGAGAGUGUAGAGUUAGGACUCUCUGUCUCUCAAAAAAGGAAAGAUAACAAAGCGAUUUAAAGAUAAUUAAUUGCAUUAAACUAUUGACUAACUACUUCGCUCAAUAGUAAUUCAUUUAGAGAAUAUUAAAAUCUGAGGAACAAUAAUAAAAUUGAUGCCAAUUCCCACGGGGAGGGAGAUGGCCAGCAAAUUGGAUACUUUUCUUAAUCUGGCGUAAAUAAUAACACGCCUGCUUCCUUCUCUCUCAGGCCAAUUCCCCUAUCAUUUAUUCCAGACUCUAAAGCUGGGCUUCAUAAUUGAUAUCAGUUACUCAAUGAGUGCUUUUUCAUUUGUUCUUGUUAUCCGUGAUAAUUGCGAAGUUCAGCCUCUCCGAGUUGGGCCGGGCAGGGAGGGCAGAGGCCAGGCUGGGAGGGGGAGGCUCCGCUGCUCCGCGUUUUUCCGGUUUGAGGACACGGAGAGGCCCACAGUCCUGACCUGGGCGGUGCUGGCGGACAGGGCCAGGUCUUCUCCACGCAGAUGCCUCUGGAGCGCGAUAUCGGGAAGAAACACUUCGUGGCAUGCCCAGGGUUAAGAGCUGAGGCGACAACCCGUUUUUGUUUGAGAAGCGGUGGGUAGAAGCCAUGAAUCCCACACGACAUCUGGGGACCAAACGCCCUGGGCCAGGAGGAUGAUGUGGGAGAGGAAGGAAGAGGGGGUCAGGGGAGGGACAUGGCUGGAAACGUCCUUCCCGGCGCCUCCCCCCGACCCCGGGGCCUGAGCGCCGGACCACACAGGCCCCCGCAGGCCCAGAUACUCCGAGAUGACGAUUUCGUUAUUUAUUCACUUAUUUAUUCAUUUAUAAAGUGUUUACUUAGCUCGGUGCAGAUGUAACAUCUCAUUUACAGCGUGGCCUCCGGGCAUAGAAACAAUUGGCAACAAAAGAGUAACUCCGGAGAAUUAAAGAAAAAAAAAACAAAACAAAACAACACACAACAACAGGCGCUGAGGGUGGGGGGAGCGCUCUGAAGAGGCGCUUGGGGCUCCGAGCGGAGGAGCCUGAGGACGCGCCUGGCCAAGGCUGCGGAGACCCCCCCAGGCCCCUCGAAGGAGCCGCGGGCAGCCCCUCCCGAGGAGGUAGUGGAGGCCGAGGGAAGUCGUUGGGUGCCGGGCCCAGGCUGUGCCGGCCAAGGCUGCGGAGACCCCCCCAGGCCCCUCGAAGGAGCCGCGGGCAGCCCCUCCCGAGGAGGUAGUGGAGGCCGAGGGAAGUCGUUGGGUGCCGGGCCCAGGCUGUGCCUGAGGGCCAGGGAUGCGCAAAAACUAGGGGCUGGCGGCGCUUCUGCAGCGGCCUUCACCGAACCUCUGGAACGGGUUCAGGCCGCGGGCGCGUGGGUGGGACCUGCGGGAGACUCGCAGGCGGUGGUGGCCAAGGGGGGUCAAUGAGCUGGCACCACGGGUGGUCCUCUCUGCUGCAGUCGGGGCAGCCCCACGGGGUCGCGCACUCCCGCUUCACUGCUACCCGUGGGGGCGGCUUCAUCCUGGCCUCACCAGCCUCCCGGGAGUCCCUCCCUGAUUCCAGCCUGGGGGCUCAGAGGUCCUGUUGGUAGAGACAGCGUUUCGCCAUGUUGAGCAGGCUGGUCUCGAACUCCUGACCUCAGGUGAUCCACCCACCUCGGCCUUCCAAAGUGCUGGGAUUACAGGGCUGGGCUUCUUAUAAAGAAAGGAGACUGGGACGCAGACUGGUAGAGCGAAGACCCUGUGAGGACACAGAGAAGCUGCCGCCUGACACAGAGAGGCAGGCCCUGCCCACACCUGGACCUUGGCCUUCUGGCCCCCAGGACCCUACAAAGUCAGUCUCAGCUGUGUAAGCCGCUCCGUCUGUGUGUUUGUUACAGCAGCCCCAGAAAGAUAUGAAACCGCUACUCCCGCGAUUAAAUGUCUCUCAGCCUAACACCUAUGGGACCUGGGGAGAGGGAAGAGAAAGGCUCCAACCUUGACCCUGUCAAAUAAAUAUCUCUAACUUUUUCUGUCCUCGGGCUUCCCAGCCAAACCUGUCUGUGGGUUUUUUUUCUUCCCUUAACCUGACUUUAAAUAACAAAGCUAUGGGGACGGGGAGAUGAAGAGAGGAAAGCCUGUCUGUUCUAUUAGAGGGUGCUCAGCGAGUGCACGCCCCGACGUCUAGCCCAAACCCUGAGUGGUAGUGAAGCUUCACUGCGCUAAUAGCCUUCCCAGCGACGGCCACCCUGGAGCCCAUCCCCUCCGGCUGCAAGUUCAGCUCAGACUGGCUGCUUCGAGGGUCCUGUCCGACCGAGGGAGGGCUGCCUGGAACCCGGCUCCCAGUGACGCGUGCCACUCCUGACCUCCUGCUCUCUUGCCCAGUUCUCUCCAGACCACGGUUUUGGCCCAGCUUGGGGAGCAGUUGAGCAUCCUGGGGUCACCUCAUCCCAGGAUGGUGGGACCAGAAGGGACGGUUCACACUGUCCAGGGACAGCAGGGCAGAGCCCCAGAGAGGGUCAGGCCUGCCCCAGCCCCAGCCCCUGGACCAGCUCACAGCCCUUUCUGCUGAGGGCAGGGGUCUGCGUGGCAUACGCUGGAGGUGUCCUCACGACCCCAGUCUCCAGCUCUCUCAGGCAGAGUCCACCCUGAACACCCCUCAUGUGGCCAGGAACCCCCUUCCCCAGCUCCCACAGCCCCCAAGCUCCCUAGGCCAGCCCCCUUGGAAGGUCGUGGUUGUCCCUGGCUGGCCAUGGCUGCGCCUGCUGAGCUGUGAGCACCGCGGUGCCGAGCUGGCUGUUUGCGGCAGGUGGGAGGGUGAGGCUGCCCUGCUGGGACCUAGCCAGCUGUUCUCAUGAAUGAGUCUGAGUAAAUUAACAAACAGCACACAAACCUGCCACCUGAAUCAUUCCUGAUGGCUCUAAGUGCAGGACAGGCUGGGCAUGGUCCUAGGGACUGCACCUGUUGGCCCCUUCCUCAGAGCUCCCCUGGCCCUGCCGAGCAGCCCCUCAUCCUUCGACCUGUCCUUGGGGGGCCAGAGUUGACCUCCUUUGCACUGGGCCGUGUCCCUGGGUUAAGGUCUUCCUCACCCACCCCCAAUCUGCCAGGUCAGUGCCAAACCACCAACCACUGCCUCCGUGGUGUCCCCAACCCAGGCCACCUGGUGCCUUGCCUCACUGCCCCCUGAACAACCCUGUCCUGCGGGGUUUGUCUUGGACACUUUUUUUUUUUUUUGAGGCAGAGUUUUGCUCUUGUUGCCCAGGCUGGAGUGCAAUGGCAUGAUCUUGGCUCAUCGCAACCUCCACCUCCGGAGUUCAAGCGAUUUUCCUGCCCUAGCCUCCUGAGUAGCUGGAAUUAAAGGUACCAGGCAUCUGCUACCAUGCCUGGCUAAUUUUGUAUUUUUAGUAGAGAUGGGGGGUUUCACCAUGUUGACCAGGCUGGUCUUGAAUUCCUGACCUCAGGUGAUCUGCCUACCUCGGCCUCCCAAAGUGCUGGGAUUAUAGGCGUGAGCCACCGUGCCAGGCCAGUCCUGGUCACUUCUUUUGCUGGAAGUCCUCGUUUCCCACUCCAGUGGCAUCGGGCUGCUCGCCCUUCUUUGACGGGUACUGCCUGGGUCACAGUGCCUGCUCAGGUGUUCAGCAUGCUACGGUUUGCAACACUUCUGGGGAGGCCGUGAGUGCAGGCACUGUCACCUUUUUCCAGGUGAGGUGAAGAGGCUGGAUGAACGGUGACCACCCCAGUCCAGAGCUUGAGACCAGAGAGGAGCCUCUCCCCUCCUUGCUGGGGUGCCCAGGGCCACAGCAGAAAGCCUCAGGCCACAGUGUGCUGGAUCCUGGCUUCUAGGUUCACCUGGUGGCCAGGCACUUCUUUCCCAGGUGCUGCCAGCCAUGGCCCCAGAGCCGGGCCCGACCUUCCCAUGGUGUCCUGCAGCCCAGGUCCUGCCAGUGUACCCCGAGGGACACAUCCUUACAGCCACCCUGUCCUUUUCCACAGCCAGCAUGGGCGUAGUGGGAGCUGGUGGGGCGUGUGCUCCAAGCAAGGGCUGGGCACAGAGGCCCCAGGAAGCAGGUGGAUCUCCUUUCUGAGAACCCUCUUGGGGCCCACAUUCAUCUCAGGGGUCCUUAGAGAACCAAGCACUUGAGCUGCCCCCAGUUCACAGAGGAGGAAACAGGCUCAGAGAUGUCAGCCACUUGCCCAAGGCUGAGGGCAGGGCUGUGGGCCCAGGAAGGGCCACGCUGAGGGCAGACUGCCAUGCUGGGGUUGCCCCCAGAUAUGCCCCAGAGUUGCACAGCUUCGUCAGAGCACCAGCAAAACCCAAGCUCGAGGAGUGGUAAACAAACAUCGGCCAGGCGCAGUGCUCGCACCUGGAACCCCAGCACCUGGGGAGGCCAGGGUGGGAGGACUGCUUGAGCUGAAGAGUUCAAGACCAGCCUGGGCAACAUAGCGAGACUCCAUUUCUUUAAAAAAUAAAGAAAUCAGCCGGGUGCGGUGGCAUAUGCCUGUGGCCCCAGCUACUUGGGAAGUUGAGGUGGAAGGAUCCCUUGAGCCCAGGAGGUCAAGGCUGCAGUGAGCAGAGAUGCACCACUGCACUCCAGCCUGUGUGACAGAGCAAGACUCUCUCAAAACAAACAAACAAACAAAAAAAAAAACCCAAGGAGAAGGAUCUGGAAAACACAGAAAAGGAUAAAGAAGCAAACCUCAAUUACACUCAGGGAACCACCUGGAGUUAGGAGCCAGCCUAGGAUGUUCUAGAAGGAUUGAAGCUAGCCUUGUCUGAGGCCCUGGGAAAGUGGACUGGACAUGGAGAUGCAGCUGAGGGACCCCAGGAAGAUGCUGCAGUCCUGUGUGAGGCCCAGUCUGGGAGCCACAGCCUUUUCCUCCCCCAGCAUCCACCCACUCGGGCUUCCUGCCACGGCCUCCCUCAGAGUCCAUGGCUCCCCAGGUGGUUCUGAUCCCGGGUCACAGGCACAACCUAGGUCAGGGAAGCCACAUGCCCAGUGUGGGCUCUUCCCUCUUUAUGCUGGACAGCAGGGUUUGCCUUGCACCUUGGGCUCAGGAGUGGGUGGGGGAUCAGGAAUGGCCACGCAGGGGACCUGGCCUAGGCUGUCUACCUCCCACAGACACUGUUUGCC